rnacentral:rRNA from 1 species
UACGAAGGGGGCUAGCGUUGCUCGGAAUCACUGGGCGUAAAGGGUGCGUAGGCGGGUUUUUAAGUCAGGGGUGAAAUCCUGGAGCUCAACUCCAGAACUGCCUUUGAAACUGUAAAGCUGGAGUGUCGGAGGGGAUAGCGGAAUUCCUAAUGUAGUGGUGAAAUACGUAGAUAUUAGGAGGAACACCGGUGGCGAAGGCGGCUAUCUGGACGACAACUGACGCUGAGGCGCGAAAGCGUGGGGAUCAAACAGG